UCUGAUCUUAGAAUAUUUUCAGCAUAUGUCCGUCCACAAGUCAAGGCCGAGAGCGGGUCGCGUAAAGCAAACCCAGUCCUGGUGGGUACAUUGGUCCCAAUUGCAGUAGUAAUCGGCGUGGGCGGACUAAUCGCUGCAUCCGUCAUCAUCUACAGAAAGCGAAUGCGACCAGUAAAUGAGCGACUAACGAUUGCAAUUCAAGAAACUGGUGAUGAAACUACAAAUAAUGACGAACAAGAAACUGAACCGAUACCUUUAGAAGAAAUUAGAUUAGUCGCUGAAAGAUGAUGGACAUACUCACGGAAUUCACAUCGGUGACGUGGUCUUUCAACUUGUAAGUACUCAUAAUCAUACAUGUUUAAUUGUUGAAUGUUAAAUACUCAUAAUCAUACGUGUAUACUUGUUGAAAGUCAUCAAUCUUAGAUGGACGUUUUUGUUUUCUUCAUGCAAACGUAGAACUGCUUUGAUAUAAUCAGUUUUGUUCAUAUAAUUGCAAUAAUGAAUUAGCUUUGCAUCUACAUACAGACUGGUGCAUUGACAGACAGUUGAAAUUACUAACAUGACUGUAUAACACAUGUCUUUAACACUUUUAAUGCAACACAUCGUCAGUCCAUGUAAAUUGAAGUAUUAAUGAUGGUUAUAAAGGCGUCCAUUGCCAGUCUUCACAUCAUCCAUACCUCACAUCAUUGAUGUCUCAUAGAUCUGCUUGUUAUUAAUCCUGCAUUUAUGUACUGUUGGUGCAUGAUUGCAUGUGCAAUUGUUAGGCAUUUUU